ensembl:snRNA U6 U6 spliceosomal RNA
CUCAUUUUUGCCAGAUGUAUCCUAAAACUGUAACAAUACAGAUAAGGUAAGCACAGUCCCUACUCGAAAAUGACAUCCCUAUUUGUGAAAUGUUUCAUAUGUUC